UUGCCAGGAACCCUGUGCUGGAUAGGAGAGAUGCUAAGGGUAUGGGGAACAAAGAGGAGCGCAGCGGGGCCUACAAGCGGAACUCUCUCUAAAAUGAAAAUUAAGGGCACCAGUGAAAACAGAAGACCUUCCGUUCUCAGCGGACACUGCCUGGUGACUUAGAGAGGUACCGCUUCAGCAAGAUAGCUCCUACUGCGACUUCCUCUGAUCCCCGCCUAAACUGAAUUGUGAGGCGACAGGAGAAGAUACAGGAAUGUUAUGGAGAGGUUACUUCUGCCUGUCCUGCUCCACACCUAUCUGUCAGCUAGGGAAUAGAAGACGUGGAGGGUUCCCAUUCUCCAAGCCAAAGGAAAGAGAGCCAA